rnacentral:rRNA from 1 species
UCCGUAGGUGAACCUGCGGAGGGAUCAUUACAGAGUUACUACUCCAAACCCAUUGUGAACCUUACCUAUGUUCUGUUGCCUCGGCGGCGUGGUCAGCGCCCCUCUGAAAAGAGGACGAUGCCCUCCCGCCGGCAGCACCAAACUCUUUGAAUUUUACAGCGGAUUACAGUUCUGAUUUGAAAACAAAAAAACAAGUUAAAACUUUCAACAACGGAUCUCUUGGUUCUGGCAUCGAUGAAGAACGCAGCGAAAUGCGAUAAGUAAUGUGAAUUGCAGAAUUCAGUGAAUCAUCGAAUCUUUGAACGCACAUUGCGCCCGGCAGUAAUCUGCCGGGCAUGCCUGUCCGAGCGUCAUUUCAACCCUCGAACCUCCGUUUCCUCAGGGAAGCUCAGGGUCGGUGUUGGGGCGCUACGGCGAGUCUUCGCGACCCUCCGUAGGCCCUGAAAUACAGUGGCGGUCCCGCCGCGGUUGCCUUCUGCGUAGUAAGUCUCUUUUGCAAGCUCGCAUUGGGUCCCGGCGGAGGCCUGCCGUCAAACCACCUAUAACUCCAGAUGGU